UACAGAGGGUGCGAGCGUUAAUCGGAAUUACUGGGCGUAAAGGGUGCGUAGGUGGUUUUAUAAGUUAGAUGUGAAAUACCCGGGCUUAACCUGGGGACUGCGUCUGAUACUGUGAAGCUAGAGUAUUGUAGAGGAAAGUGGAAUUUCCGGUGUAGCAGUGAAAUGCGUAGAUAUCGGAAGGAACAUCAGUGGCGAAGGCGACUUUCUGGACAGAUACUGACACUGAGGUACGAAAGCAUGGGGAGCAAAC
rnacentral:rRNA from 1 species